ensembl:lncRNA
AAAAUGUCUUCAGUAAACACGAUUCAGACGGUGUUCUGUUUGGCCAAAGCAGAGCUGUGGGGAGAGUCUUCAUUCCCCCACGUAGCAUCUUCCACCAGCAAGAAAAGCUGAGACUCCUUGGAAUUCAAAAUGUUGAGAAGUGGACAUGAUGCAGAAUGUUCUGUUUUCGUUUCCCAAGGAAAACGACCCAGAGAGACUUUGUUAUUGGAAUGGCUUCACCCUCACUCUCAGCUGGCAAGACCGCACCAGUCUGAGAAGGGAGCUACAGCAGCUCUUGCAUCUUUCUGAUGGAGCUGCAGCACAGAGGAGUGCCUGGGCACUGGGUUUUCCUGUUAGUUGGCCUUCGGGAAAGGGCAGCAGGUGCUGAACCAUCCAUCCAGCUGGGGCUGUGCUCAGCAGGCUCACUGACACAACAGAGCUUGCAGAGUCUGAACUUCCCUUUUUAGGUUUUUAAGCACGUGAUUCUUGUAUGCUGUGAAGAGGGUGGUUUGAACCACUCUGAUUUGGGUUUCCAAGCACCCUCACUGCUCUCCAGGAGAAUUUCAGUAUGGAUCGUCUCAUUCUGCCUGCACACAGAUCCAUCCCCUGCCUGCUGCUGCUGCAACGCCGAUAUGGCAGCUGGAGGUGGCUGCUUGGCCCAGAAGUGGUUUAAACAAAUCUCGCCUUCAUUUCCAUACCAUCAGCUUAAGCUGCAGACUCAGAAACCUGAUGGAAGGGAAUUGCCUUCGUAUUUUAUGCUACCCUCUCUGGAGCACCCUGAGAAGACUGUCAAAUUACAGCAGAGAUUUCCUCAGAACAAAGCAGAGCUGAAGUUCUUCAGCUCACUUUUAAAGAGAUGCAGCCAUGGUAACUUUUAUAAUCGAGCCAUUUUGUUCUGCUCUCAAUCAGCUUCAUACCAAAGGACAAAGUGCUCAGGGAUGGCAUAGGCUGCAGUUUGAAAACUGACAAUAUUAAGCAAACAUCACAGCCUGGUGUGAUCUGCUCUCACUCUCAUGCAAUAACGCCCUUUGAGAGGUUGAUUUGAGACACACAGUAAUGCCUGCAGGCCAAGAACUUGAUUUUGUUCUUGUUACCAGUUCUGUGCUCUACAAUCUCUGCACUAUCCAUCAGAGGAUGCUUGGCAGCCUCUCUUGGUUAACCAUGAGUGUCAUCCCCAUCCUUCACGUGAGAGAGCCGCAGAGCGCGGCCAGGCUGUGCGGAGGCAUUGGUGCGCAGCUGUCUGUAUUUCAUAAAUCAUAUGAUAUGCUGAAAAGCUGCAUAUUGCACAUUGUACAGGAGCACAAGGGAAGCAAUGGGAUUUCUGUUCCACAUUAGGGUCUCAUGAGGCAAGUUGUGCUCCUUCCCACAAAGUGAUGUUCUGCUGCUGUUGCAACUGUUCUCCUCAGUUUCCUGACAAAAAGUGUCUUCUGAAAUGUGGAAAGAUGCAAGUCCUUCUGGGACCCAGCCAGUGCUCAGCUGUCCCCUAAGGGUUUCAAAGGUACAUCUGUAUAUUGCUUCCAACCAGCCACUGUUUCUACCACAACCCAGUAGAAGUAAGGCAGGGGGCAGUUUCUGCAGUUCUGAUGGAGCUGUUUCUCAGGCUGUUUUGGGCUGGGAAUAGCUCAGCACUUACUUCUCAGGGAUGUUCUCUGCAAUGGAAAUCAAGAACUAGAAUCCAGAAAAUAUUUUUGAGCUACACAGCAGGUCUUUGACCAUUUGAAACUUAUCUAUUAGAGCACACCUUCACCUUUUGGUGCCUGGAUACCUGGUGCUUGCAUUCAGGUGGCUUCACCAUCAUCUGUUGUCCUGCGGCGUGGGACCUGCCACAAGGUCAUUUCACCCAUAAAGAAAGAGCAGACACAGCAGUCAACAUUCUCAUUGUUUUGUAUCUCAUUUAUGGUUCAGACGUUCCUGGCCCCUUCCACUUUGUAAAAGAAAUUAUAAGGAAACAUCAGUUCACGUGUUUUGAGGCUAGAGUCACUCUGUGAUCAUUCCUUUUUAUCCAGAGUUUAGCAAAUGCUACCACAGAUGCUUCUUCCACUGUACAAAGAAAUAAAGAGCACUUGCACAAAUGACAUGCAUGUCAAUCUUUAGGUCACAGCACUUCUUGCAAUUGUAUCCCAAGUAGGAGACAUCAAACCAAAUGCAUUUCAGAAUUAACAGUCUGUACCCAAGACAGGAAAUAGAGUUUAUAAAACAGGUGGAUGAAGACCAGUAUUCACUUGCAUCACAUUAAAGCAAAUCCAUUUAUAUUUUAUUUCCUAUAUACUGACUCGAAUGUGCAUUUUUAUAAUAAUCAGACUCUGCAGUUUCGGCAGCAUAAGUGAUGCUUGCAGAGAGAUCGGUGUGGCCCAGUAGAUCUUAUAGGUAAGAAAUAAUCCACUGGAGGAGAAGAGGGAGAUGCUGUCUGGACAGCUCUGUCCCGUGUCCCUGUCU